CUACACUAUACUUUGUAUCUUUUCAAAAUGUAUAUAUGAGAUUGUUGCUGUUUGUCCAUAUGUUUACUUACUCACACAAAAGGCAAGCCUCACUUCAUUAAACGUGAGUAGGUACAACAUGAAUGUGUAUAGAGUAUACAUGUAUUAUAAUAUAUCCUUCAUACUUCAUAUCUGUAAAUAAAAUGAUCUGGUAUUAUGUGAAGCAUCG